UGCUGUGUUCCUGGCACCCACUGAGUUCUCAGAGUCUGUCAAAAUUCAGGGUGUGUGGAUAGACAGUGCACACGUGACCCAUUUCCCAGGAUCCACAUCAAACAGGCUGCUUAUGAAAACCACUUUAAAUUAGAAAAGGGCCCGGGGCGCGGCCCACCUCCUCCCGGUGGCACACACGGAUUCGCGUCUUGAUGUAGGGGAAGGCGUGGUCUGUGCUGAGCAGAGUCUUGCGUUUGUGCUGUUCCGGCAGCUCCCCGUGCGCACGCCCGUCGGGUGUGAAGGGCGUGCAGAACAGGAAGGUGCGCAGCCCGUAGUUGCGGUCGAAGUAGGUCACCCGGUCCUUGAGCUCAUAGGUGUCGAAGUGCGGUUCCACGUAAGUGAUCUG